rnacentral:rRNA from 1 species
UACGAAGGGGGCUAGCGUUGCUCGGAAUCACUGGGCGUAAAGGGUGCGUAGGCGGGUCUUUAAGUCAGGGGUGAAAUCCUGGAGCUCAACUCCAGAACUGCCUUUGAUACUGAAGAUCUUGAGUUCGGGAGAGGUGAGUGGAACUGCGAGUGUAGAGGUGAAAUUCGUAGAUAUUCGCAAGAACACCAGUGGCGAAGGCGGCUCACUGGCCCAUAACUGACGCUGAGGCACGAAAGCGUGGGGAGCAAACAGG